AAACCUGAGAGUUUGAUCCUGGCUCAGGACGAACGCUGGCGGCGUGCCUAACACAUGCAAGUCGAGCGGUCCGGCACUCAACUAAGUGCUUACUUGAGGGGAAGAAGUAUAGGAGAAGAAGAAA
rnacentral:rRNA from 1 species